CCUACGGGCGACAGCAGUGGGGAAUAUUGGGCAAUGGAGGCAACUCUGACCCAGCAACGCCGCGUGAAUGAUGAAGGCUUUCGGGUUGUAAACUUCUUUUCACAGGGAAGAAUAAAGUGCCGUACCCUUCGAAUUACGCCUCGGCUAACUACGUCCCAGCAGCGGCGGUAAUACGUAGGAGCCGAGCGUUGUCGGGUAUAACUGGGUGUAAAGGGCGCGUAGGUGGUUUGACAAGUUAGUGGCGAAACUCCGAGGCUCACCCGAGGAACUACUACUGAAACUGUGGUACUUGAGUGCAGGAGGGGCAGACGGAAUGCCUAGUGUAGCGGUGGAAUGCGUAGAUAUUAGGAGGAACACCAGUGGCGAAGGCGGGUUGCUAGACUGCAACUGACACUGAGGCACGAAAGCGUGGGGAGCAAACAGGAUUAGAUACCCUUGUAGUC
rnacentral:rRNA from 1 species